rnacentral:misc_RNA from 1 species
UCUCCGUUGGUGAACCAGCGGAGGGAUCAUUACAGGACUCGCAAGACUCCUACAACCCUGUGAACUUAACUAUAAGCACGUUGCUUCGGCGGGUGUCUCGGAGGGGGUUCUCCCUCCCCGAGACGCUAAACCCGCCGGCAGCCUACUAUACUCUGUCUCUUUGCGUUGGCAUCUCGAGUACAAUCAAACAAGUUAAAACUUUCAACAACGGAUCUCUUGGUUCU